GGUCACUGAAUUUAGAAUAGAAAGCUUUUCAGACCAGUUUGGUGACAGAGGAUUGGAGAGAGGAAUGUUCAAUUUCCAUCCAAGGUGUUCUAGACCUGAUCUUGUUCUUGGUGUAAAGCCUCGUACUGAUAGGUCAGGCAUAACAGUUCUGCUGCAAGACAGAUAAGUGGAAGGACUUCAAGUUUCAUAAAUGAUAAAUGGGUUAGAGUCCCAUAGUUCCCGAUGCACUUGUUGUUAAUCUCGGAGAUCAAAUGCAGGUCCAUAAAUGCAAUGUUGGUUGCAAAAAGCGAGUAUGAAAGCAAAUGACGAGGAAUUGUUGAAGCUUACAGGAUUAAGAAAUGUCUGGAUUUAGCUAUGCUAAAGGGAGACAGAAUACCCUCAAAUGUAAUGAUUUUAGCAAGAGAGGUUGUGAACUGAGGUGGCUUUCCGGUCAAGAUUUUGUUGUUUUCAGCAGAGAUCAGAAUAUAAGAUAAACCCGUGUAACGGGUUGCAAUGUCUCUAAUCCCGUUGCUAGCUUCAGGUCAAGUUAAACAAAGGACAGUCUUACAUCGGCAGCGAAGCAGCUCAAUGGCUGAUAGAAGAGAAAAGAUAGCACUGGACACAGUAAAAACUUAAAAAAAGGAAGUUCCGCUCGCUGUCUGAGCUGGUUUUUCCAGUUGAUGGGUUUCAGCUGGUUUUUGUCAGCGCAUCCUAUGCCUUGUGUUUCAAGGGCUGUGCUGUGUCUGUAAGUAGCAGGCAUUUUAGUAGUUCUUGUAAUCUGCCCGAAGACAAGGAGGAGAUACUACCAAAAUUUCCAGUCUUGGAAGUUGCAACUUCAACAUUAAAAUAAUCUCUCAUGGAUUAGGUCACAAGUUGCUAUUUUCAACAAACGAUGGCAGCUUGUAUGAUCAUAUUUUAUCAUGAUAGUGACCAAUUACCCCACUUUCUUAAUCAUUAGAAUUACUUGAUGCUUUUAGUGAACCA